GAUGAACGCUGGCGGCGUGCCUAAUACAUGCAAGUCGAGCGAACAGACGAUAGUGCUUGCACUCUCUGACGUUAGCGGCGGGCGGGUGAGUAACACGUGGGUAACCCACCUAUUUGACGGGGAUUACUUCGGGAAACCGUAGCUAAUAACGGCAAAUAUUUAGCUUCGGAUGAAGCAGUAGUGUAAGACCGUUCUGCUGUCACUUAUAGAUGGACCCGGGUUGUAUUAGCUAGUUGGUGAGGCAACGGCUCACCAAGUCACCGAUACCUGGCCGACGUCUGAGAGUGAUAGCCGACACGGGGACUGAGACACGCCCCAGAGGCCUACGGGAGGCACCAGAAGGGAAUCUUCGGCAAUGGACGAAAGUCUGACGCAGCAAUGCCGCGUGAGUGAAGAAGGCUUUCGGAUCGUAAAGCCCUGUUGUAGGGGAAGAACAGCUACGUUAGUAACUGAAGCUACCUUGACGGUACCUUACCAAAAAGCCCCGGCUAACUACGUG
rnacentral:rRNA from 1 species